CUACGGGCUGCACCAGUGAGGAAUAUUGCACAAUGGGGGGAACCCUGAUGCAGCAACGCCGCGUGGAGGAUGACGCAUUUCGGUGUGUAAACUCCUUUUAUAUGUCAAGAAAAUGACGGUAGCAUAUGAAUAAGCACCGGCUAACUCCGUGCCAGCAGCCGCGGUAAUACGGAGGGUGCAAGCGUUACUCGGAAUCACUGGGCGUAAAGGACGCGUAGGCGGGUUGAAAAGUCAGGUGUGAAAGCCUACAGCUUAACUGUAGAACUGCACUUGAAACUCUCAACCUAGAGUAUGGGAGGGGCAGAUGGAAUUAGUGGUGUAGGGGUAAAAUCCGUAGAUAUCACUAGGAAUACCUAAAGCGAAGGCGAUCUGCUGGAACAUUACUGACGCUAAGGCGUGAAAGCGUGGGGAGCAAACAGGAUUAGAUACCCUCGUAGUC
rnacentral:rRNA from 1 species